UUGUUCCUUGACUUGUCAGUCAAGUAUGGCCCAGAAGUUUUCGAUGGGGUUCAUGUCAGGAGAUUGGCUCAGCCAGAGUAACUUCUGGAUACCGUUU